UACGAAGGGACCUAGCGUAGUUCGGAAUUACUGGGCGUAAAGCGCGCGUAGGCCGUUGAGUUAGUUAAUUGUGAAAUCCCAAAGCUUAACUUUGGAACUGCAAUUAAAACUGCUCGACUAGAGUUUGAUAGAGGAAAGCGGAAUACAUAGUGUAGAGGUGAAAUUCGUAGAUAUUAUGUAGAACACCAGUUGCGAAGGCGGCUUUCUGGAUCAACACUGACGCUGAGGCGCGAAAGUAUGGGUAGCAAAGAGGAUUAGAUACCCUCGUAGUCCAUACCAUAAACGAUGAUUGCUAGAUGUUGGAAAUUUAUUUUCAGUAUCGCAGCUAACGCAUUAAGCAAUCCGCCUGGGGAGUACGACCGCAAGGUUAAAACUCAAAUGAAUUGACGGGGACCCGCACAAGCGGUGGAGCAUGUGGUUUAAUUCGAAGAUACGCGCAGAACCUUACCAACCCUUGACAUGUCUGUCGCGAGUUUAGGAAACUAGACUUUUCGGUUCGGCCGGACAGAACACAGGUGCUGCAUGGCUGUCGUCAGCUCGUGUCGUGAGAUGUUGGGUUAAGUCCCGCAACGAGCGCAACCCCUACUUUUAGUUGCCAUCAGGUCAUGCUGGGCACUCUGAAAGAACUGCCAGUGAUAAGCUGGAGGAAGGUGGGGAUGACGUCAAGUCCUCAUGGCCCUUACGGGUUGGGCUACACACGUGCUACAAUGGUAGUGACAAUGAGAUGCAAGGUGGCGACGCUAAGCUAAACUCAAAAAUCUACCUCAGUUCGGAUUGCACUCUGCAACUCGAGUGCAUGAAGCUGGAAUCGCUAGUAAUCGUAGAUCAGCGUGCUACGGUGAAUACGUUCCCGGGUC
rnacentral:rRNA from 1 species